rnacentral:rRNA from 1 species
UACGUAGGGUGCAAGCGUUAAUCGGAAUUACUGGGCGUAAAGCGUGCGCAGGCGGUUGGGCAAGACCGAUGUGAAAGCCCCGGGCUUAACCUGGGAAUGGCAUUGGUGACUGCACGGCUAGAGUGUGUCAGAGGGGGGUAGAAUUCCACGUGUAGCAGUGAAAUGCGUAGAGAUGUGGAGGAAUACCGAUGGCGAAGGCAGCCCCCUGGGAUAACACUGACGCUCAUGCACGAAAGCGUGGGGAGCAAACAGG